rnacentral:lncRNA from 1 species
UGACACAUAACUCUUGGCCCAUGCUAGACAGCCUCAAACUACCAGACGGAAAGCUUACCAACAGCUCAUUCAAGCCCAGUUCAGGAAAAAAAAAAAAAAAAGUAACACUGGAACCUGACGCAAGGAGUCAAGCACUCCGCUCUCUAUGAAACAGUGACUACCACCCAGCACAGGUUUUAAAGCGACAACCUCCCCGGUACUCUCGAUCUCACUUUUUUUUUUGCAGGAGCUGGGAUUCCCGACCAAGCUUUACACCCCUAACUCCCAGUAAGGCAAACCGAAGAACUAGCUCACAACCCUCUCAUAACACUGACAGGCACAGGACCAGAAUUCUACAUAUAACGAGUCAAGUCUCAGUUUUGAAAAUAUGCAGAUGAAUAUGUCGAUGUAAGGGGUGGUUUGGUUUGUUUUUGCUGCUGUACCUUUAAAGAAAAAAAAAAAAAAAGCAACUUUCCUUUUUGCUGAAAAAGGCUGAAUUCCGUUCAUCGGAGCAUCCCGGUUCUCAGCCUUUACCUCAUCCACCUUGAGUCUCCCACUAGGAAUCGCAGAAAGACUAACUUGGCUUCAUAACCCUCCUCUUUCUCCCAACCCAAAGCAUCAACAACCAACGCCACCACACUAAGGCAAAACUGUCCUUUUAUCUACUCUCAUUCCAACCCGGCUUUCCUCCACCCCCUUCCAAGACCCAGGAUUGGCCUAGGAAAAGGUGGAUCAAUAAUGAAAUGACGAGAAAAAGAGAAGGGCGGGAGGGAGCCAGGGCCAGAGGCUGCAAGCUCUCGCAGUCCUAGUUCCCCCACAAACAUCACCCCUCACCGGGGCCCCCUUUCUCAAGAGCUGGAGAGAAACCCUGCUCCUCUCAAGGAGAAUGCUAGAAAGUAGCUCUGCUCCAAGCCUAGGGGAACACUGGACCAUUUUCCCUCGAACACACCUCUGGUCCUUCCUCUAAAGGAGGGAAAGGGGUGGAGUUGGAGGUAAAUCCCUGACACCAGCAGCCUAGGAAACGUAGCCCUGGAAGAUGAGGAAAGAGACAACGCUGGGGAGAGCACUGUUAUCUUCGCAGGAGAGAUGAGAACGACAAGGGCCAGGAUAAGAACCUGGCUCUGGAUGAAGCCACCACCCGAGAGAUGUCCAAGGGGGAAGACUGCCCUAGGAGUAACACAUCUGCCCAGGGAAGGAGGCGGAGAUGUGGCGGGAUCAGGUCUCUGGCAGAGGGAGGGAGGAAUCUGGCUCGGAUGAGGUAAUCUGUGAAAGGGAGGAGGGGUUCAGUCCCGGGAUGGGAAACCCCCGCAAGGGGGUCUGUGCCAAGGGAUUUGGGGAAGGGUCCAGGGGAAGAAGGCGGGACGGGGGCUAAAGGCCCUCAACUAGAAGGGUCUGAGCCCUCGGGUAAUUGGUGCCGAUGGCGGCCGAGACCUGCAGCGCCGCGUCGAAGCCCGGGCCCACCCGGAGCAGGGCCGGCCCUGAGGAGGCUGAGGACGAUGACGAAGACGAAGACGAGGCGGACGACGAAGAGGCUGCUGAGGCGGCGGCCGCUCCCCCUGGAACCC